rnacentral:rRNA from 1 species
UACGGAGGGUGCAAGCGUUAAUCGGAAUUACUGGGCGUAAAGCGCGUGUAGGUGGCGAUGUAAGUCGGGUGUGAAAUCCCUCGGCUCAACCGAGGAAGUGCACUCGAUACUGUGUCGCUUGAGUGUUGGAGGGGAUGGCGGAAUUCCCGGUGUAGAGGUGAAAUUCGUAGAUAUCGGGAGGAACACCUGUGGCGAAGGCGGCCAUCUGGACAACUACUGACACUGAGACGCGAAAGCGUGGGUAGCAAACAGG